rnacentral:tRNA from 1 species
CACCGGUUCGGCUAUCGGCUAGGCCAUCAUCCUUUCACGGUGAGGAGACGGGUUCGAUUCCCGUACCGGUGA